rnacentral:rRNA from 1 species
AUUGAACGCUGGCGGCAGGCCUAACACAUGCAAGUCGAACGAGUGGCGGACGGGUGAGUAAUGUCUGGGAAACUGCCCGAUGGAGGGGGAUAACUACUGGAAACGGUAGCUAAUACAGCAUACCAUCGGAUGUGCCCAGAUGGGAUUAGCUAGUAGGUGGGGGAAAGGCUCACCUAGGCGACGAUCCCUAGCUGGUCUGAGAGGAUGACCAGCCACACUGGAACUGAGACACGGUCAAGACUCCUACGGGAGGCAGCAGUGGGGAAUAGUGCACAAUGGGCGCAAGCCUGAUGCAGCCAGGCGGCGGGUAUGAAGAAGGCCUUCGGGUUGUAAAGUACUUUCAGCGGGGAGGCGGUACCCGCAGAAGAAGCACCGGCUAACUCCGUGCCAGCAGCCGCGGUAAUUC